rnacentral:rRNA from 1 species
GAUGAACGCUAGCUACAGGCUUAACACAUGCAAGUCGAGGGGAAACGGCAUCGAAAGCUUGCUUUUGAUGGGCGUCGUCCGGCGCACGGGUGAGUAACGCGUAUAUAUCCUGCUCAUCACUUGGGAAUAACCUUGCGAAAGUAAGACUACUGCCUAAUGACAUCCCACGAAGGCAUCCGAAUUUGAUUCAAGGUUUAUCGGUGAUGGAUGGGGAUGUGUCGGAUUAGUUUGUUGGCGGGGUAACGCCCCACCAAGGCGACGAUACGUAGGGGGUCUGAGAGGAUGAUCAGCCACACUGGAACUGAGACACGGUCCAGACUCCUACGGGAGGCAGCAGUGGGGAAUAUUGGACAAUGGGCGCAAUCCUGAUCCAGACAUACCGCGUGGGUGAAGAAGGCCUUCGGGUUGUAAAGCCCUUUGGUUGGGAAAGAAAAGCAGCAGGUUAAUACCCCGCUGUUCUGACGGUACCCAAAGAAUAAGCACCGGCUAACUUCGUG